CAAUAGAUAGUUUAGUAAAAUAUUAAUUUUGGAGAUUAAAGACAGAUUAGCGUCUUCUAUUGA
rnacentral:tRNA from 1 species